rnacentral:rRNA from 1 species
UGGGAACCUUCCCUAUGGUUCGGAAUAGCUCAGGGAAACUUGGGGUAAUACCGGAUAAGCCCUUCGGGGGAAAGAUUUAUCGCCAUUGGAUGGGCCCGCGUCGGAUUAGCUAGUUGGUGAGGUAACGGCUCACCAAGGCAACGAUCCGUAGCCGGUCUGAGAGGAUGAUCAGCCACACUGGGACUGAGACACGGCCCAGACUCCGUACGGGAGGCAG